CUAUUGGAUGGAGAGAAAGAGAAAAGUUCUUCCAACCGUAUCAGAUAUGGUUGUUAACAGAAACAGAAGACCAUCAAGUUAAUCAAGCUAUGGUGCCACCAGAAACAGCCAACCGGUUGAUCAGCAAUCUUAACUUGGAACAAUAUGCAAUUCAGAGUGGAGCUCAUCUAAAAGAUGUUGCCGAAGACAUCAGGAAAAGCAAUUUGCUUAAACUGACAGAUGGAAGGCGAGUUUUCGCUACACAUAUGGCAAGCAGUUAUCAGCCUACUCCUGAACAACAGAAGCAAGCAGAUGAUUUACUAUCUGACAUGGCUACAGAUAUUAGCCAGUUGGACCUCCCGUUUAUGGUAGGACAAGAAAUUGAAGAGCUGUCUAAUUUACCUCUCCUAGAUUCCAGCUCAAAUCAGAGUAUGUGAUUAGAUGACGUGGGCUAUCAGAAUCUCGACAACGCUAUGGAAGCAUAAUGGACCCACAUAACUUUCCCGACAGACGCGACAGCAGAUAAAACAUCUACAGUCACUUCGAAGGCGGUAGAAGUUGAUAGAUUUAUGUAAAUAGUAAUGAGGUGUCACCUUAACUAAACCAUAGUUGGUGAUUUACCUUAGUUAUGUUAUUAGAGUAAAGUAACUAGAGUUACUUUUCCCUUGUAUAUAUACAUGCUAGUGUGCUGAAGAGAGGGCAUCGAAUGUUAGAAAGCCUUACUCUCUUUCCUUUUGUGUUUGUAUUUCACUUGUAUGAAACUUCCUCCCUAUCAAUAAAAAUAGUUACUAGUGUGGUUUCUUUUGUGUUUGUGUUUGUAAAUAGCUAUAUGGUUUAGUUUGGUUUAUAGCUAUAUGGUUUAAGCUAUAUUACUAAUAGUAAUGUAUAGUAUUUCUUUUGUGUUUGUGUUUGGUAUCAGAGCCUAUACGGGUUUCUGGAAAGUGAAGUCUAGUCCUAGUAUAGCUUUCCUAGUAUAGAUUUUCUAGUAAAGAGAAGCUUGAGGGGAAAUCUCUAAUCUCUACUACCUUGAAGCUUGAGAAGAAAUCUCUACCAGAAGCUUUUCCAUUCAAGUAAGUUUUCUUACUAUGUAAAUUAAGUUUCAUUAUAUUUUCAUAAUACAAGUUAGUUUUCUUCGUAGAAAAACCCAUACUCUCUAAAAGCUCAUAUCCCUGAUAUAGCCAUUAAAAACCUAGGUUUGGUUAAGAGGCUUUAGGGAAUCGGUUUUAAGCACCUUAGAGAACUGGUUUUAGGUACCAUCUAUGAAGAAAAAAUGGCAAAACCUAAUAUAACAAAGUUAUUAGAAUGUUUAUAUG
rnacentral:lncRNA from 1 species